GAUGAACGCUGGCGGCGUGCCUAAUACAUGCAAGUCGAGCGAACAGACGAGGAGCUUGCUCCUCUGACGUUAGCGGCGGACGGGUGAGUAACACGUGGAUAACCUACCUAUAAGACUGGGAUAACUUCGGGAAACCGGAGCUAAUACCGGAUAAUAUAUUGAACCGCAUGGUUCAAUAGAGAAAGACGGUUUUGCUGUCACUUAUAGAUGGAUCCGCGCCGCAUUAGCUAGUUGGUAAGGUAACGGCUUACCAAGGCAACGAUGCGUAGCCGACCUGAGAGGGUGAUCGGCCACACUGGAACUGAGACACGGUCCAGACUCCUACGGGAGGCAGCAGUAGGGAAUCUUCCGCAAUGGGCGAAAGCCUGACGGAGCAACGCCGCGUGAGUGAUGAAGGUCUUCGGAUCGUAAAACUCUGUUAUUAGGGAAGAACAAAUGUGUAAGUAACUAUGCACGUCUUGACGGUACCUAAUCAGAAAGCCACGGCUAACUACGUG
rnacentral:rRNA from 1 species